rnacentral:rRNA from 1 species
GAUGAACGCUGGCGGCGUGCUAAUACAUGCAAGUCGAGCGGACAGACGAGGUGCUUGCACCUCUGAAGUCAGCGGCGGACGGGUGAGUAACACGUGGGUAACCUACCUGUAAGACUGGGAUAACUUCGGGAAACCGGAGCUAAUACCGGAUAAUAUUUUCCAUCUCAUGGUGGAAUAGUGAAAGACGGUUUUGCUGUCACUUACAGAUGGACCCGCGGCGCAUUAGCUAGUUGGUGAGGUAACGGCUCACCAAGGCGACGAUGCGUAGCCGACCUGAGAGGGUGAUCGGCCACACUGGGACUGAGACACGGCCCAGACUCCUACGGGAGGCAGCAGUAGGGAAUCUUCCGCAAUGGACGAAAGUCUGACGGAGCAACGCCGCGUGAGUGAAGAAGGUCUUCGGAUCGUAAAACUCUGUUGUAAGGGAAGAACAAGUACGUUAGUAACUGAACGUAC